rnacentral:rRNA from 1 species
CCCUUAGAUGUUCUGGGCCGCACGCGCGCUACACUGAUGCAUUCAACGAGUUUCUUCCUGGUCCGAGAGGAAUGGGUAACCUUUUGAAAGUGCAUCGUGAUAGGGAUAGACUAUUGCAAUUAUUGGUCUUCAACGAGGAAUUCCUAGUAGACGUAGUUCAUCAGACUGCAUCGAUUACGUCCCUGCCCUUUGUACACACCGCCCGUCGCUCCUACCGAUUGAAUGCUCAGGUGAACCAUUCGGACUUUCAUCAUGCUGGUUUCCAGUUUUGAUGAAGGAAAGUCUUGCGAACCUUAUCAUUUAGAGGAAGGAGAAGUCGUAACA